GUUCUGCUUGCCUGAUAGGCUACAGCAGGUCUCCUCUAGAGAUGUGACUUGCCCAGCCCUUCCCUCUCUUUCUUAACCGUGGGUGGAAAGGGGCUCCUCUUCCCUUCUGUAGACCCUUCUCUGUCUUCUUUUACCUUGCAGGAUGUGAGGGUGGGGCACCCCCUUCAACAUUCCCCCCACCCCACAAAAAGCCUGUUCCCCUUUCCUGUGGCCCUGAGGUGGGGGUGGGGUGGGGGAGGCGGGAAGUUGGCAACAGGAAGUGAGGAGAAGAGCAAAGAAAACUGUGAGAGAGAGAAUUUUUAAAAAGCAGCUGGGGCCUGAGGUUUCUCCCCCAGUACCCUGGGUCACCUCAGCCCAGAGCUGGCGGCCCCCAGCCCCUCAUGUCAGAGCCCCCUGUGUACUGUAACCUGGUGGACCUUCGCCGCUGUCCUCGGUCCCCACCCCCAGGCCCUGCAUGCCCCCUGCUGCAGAGGCUGGAUGCCUGGGAGCAGCACCUGGACCCCAACUCUGGACGCUGCUUCUACAUAAAUUCACUGACUGGCUGCAAGUCCUGGAAGCCCCCG
rnacentral:lncRNA from 1 species